rnacentral:lncRNA from 1 species
GCAAGACUCUAUGGACCCCCAUGGCUGGGCCUCGGGGGAGGUGAGGACAGGCUUCCAAAAGGAGAGGAUGCUUAUUGCUGCCUCAUGAAGGAUGGCCACCAGGAAAAACCCAGAGAUCUUCUGUAAGACGUUGCCCCCACCUGAAGCGUGUGCUAUGUGCGCAGAAUGAACAGGUUGUUUCUGGGUGGCUGUGUCCAGUGCGUGCUGCUCCCAUUAAUCAGUACAAAUACUGGUCCUUUUUCGCCUGCAAGAUGUGUGCUUUGGAGAUGAGCUAACAAAGGCACAGAAGGGCUGAGCGACGCACUGAAAGUUGCACAGCUUGUAUGGGACAGUCAGGCCCAGCUCUGUCUGUCUGCAAAGCCCAUACUCUGCAGGCUGCUUUAGACUGAGGCUCCCAUAACACUCCCAGAAAGGAGAAUUCGAGCAUCCCGCUUCUCCUGUCUCCGCCCUCACACCUGCUCUGCCGAGGUACCUGAGGGGCUCAGAAGACCUGCACAGGGUCCCUGGGGUCUUAUCAGCAAAGGCGCAGCCAGAGUGAUGUGUCCUGGAAUAAGGGCUGGCGUUUCAUCGAGAACUUGCCCAAGAGACACUUUUGGGUGGUUAGGUGAGAGACUUAUUUAUGGGGCUGCCCGGGGCAUCCCAGACCUCUAUCCAGGGUGGAGGAAAGCCAGGCGUCAGCCUCAGACAGCAGGAGACUCAAGACACACGAUGGAAACCGCGCUGACACCUUCGCCUUCCCGCGCGCUUGGUUGCCUAGCAACCGAAAGUGACGAGCUGCCAACUCACUGAUGCGAUCGCAGUGGGGAGAUCAGAUUCCUCUUCCCUACCAACCUGUGAGCUUGAGGACCAAGACCCCGUGAGAGGCAGUGCAAUAAAGAGCACAGUGUUGGAGCCAGACCUGCCGCACUUCAAAUCUCAAAGGCUGCAUGACUUCGGGCAAGCAAAGAACAACCGGAGGCUGAGAUCAAGUUGACGUGCUGGUUAACCCAUGUCUCCUUUGGAAGUGUCCACCUGUCCCAGGUCCUGUCCAACAGACAGCACUGUUUGUACCGCAUGAUCCACCCUUGUGGCCACAGCUGAUUGCACCAGGCCAGGGCUGUCAGUGGAAAGACCUUCAGUGAACAGUGUUCACAGCGGCUGGAACCACUAAGUACAGUGUGUCCUUAGAUCUCCUCAGUGCUUGGCUCAUGAGAGAUGCUGGUGAAACGGCUGAUGAGUCAGAUGCCAACGUGUAAACCCAAUCUUUGAGUUGAUGAGGCAAACUCCACAGACAGACUCUGCUCUAUCUUCUAGCUUUCUCCGUUCAAGUGUGGCCAUCCUUGAUUCUUGCUCCUUUCUAUCCUGGGUUCUUGACUAGGUUUGUUUUUAGAUCUCUAUGAGCUUAUUGGUCAAUGAACCCC